rnacentral:rRNA from 1 species
AUGGCACAAGGGGGGGGAAUCCGCGGUUACCAGUACAAGGGAAGAAUCCGAGGAACCACAUGGGGAAGCAGCCCCCUGGGGUAAACUGACGGUUAGGCACGAAAGGUGGGGGCCAAACAGGAUUGAUUACCUGGUUGUUCAACCCCCUAAACGAUGUCAAUGGGUGGUGGGGAAACGAUUUUCCAGUACCCGUAGUUAACGCGUGAAUUGACCCGCCUGGGAGUACGCCCGCAAGGUUAAAACUCAAAGGAAUUGACCGGGACCGACACAAGCCGGUGGAUGAUGUGAUUAAUUNGAUGCAACGCGAACAACCUUACCUACCCUUGACAUGUCCGAGAGCCCGCUGAGAGGUGGGUGUGCCCGAAAGGGAAUCGGAACACAGGUGCUGCAUGGCUGUCGUCAGCUCGUGUCGUGAGGUGUUGGGUUAAGUCCCGCAACGAGCGCAACCCCUGUCGUCGGUUAGGAUGUCCGGCGAGACUGCCACGCUAAACGUGGAGGAAGGUGGGGAUGACGUCAAGUCAGCACGGCCCUUACGUCCUGGGCGACACACACGCUACAAUGGUCGCGACAGCGGGACGCGAACCGGUGACGGGGAGCCAAUCCUACCAAACGCGAUCUCAGUUCGGAUGGCAGGCUGCAACCCGCCUGCCUGAAGCCGGAGUUGCUAGUAACCGUGGGUCAGCACACCACGGUGAAUACGUUCCCGGGUCUUGUACACACCGCCCGUCACACCACGAAAGUCGGCAACACCUGAAGCCGCUGGGCUAACCUCUUUUCGGAGAGGAGGCAGGCGUCGAGGGUGGGGUUGGUGAUUGGGGUGAAGUCGUAACAAGGUAAAUCGAAUUCCCGCGGCC